GCCAGACUCCUACGGGAGGCAGCAGUGGAGAAUAUUGCACAAUGGGGGAAACCCUGAUGCAGCGACGCCGCGUGAGUGAAGAAGUAUUUCGGUAUGUAAAGCUCUAUCAGCAGGGAAAAAAAUGACGGUACCUGAUUAAGAAGCCCCGGCUAACUACGUGCCAGCAGCCGCGGUAAUACGUAGGGGGCAAGCGUUAUCCGGAUUUACUGGGUGUAAAGGGAGCGUAGACGGCAGCGCAAGUCAGAAGUGAAAGCCCGGGGCUCAACUCCGGGACUGCUUUUGAAACUGUGUGACUGGAGUGCAGGAGAGGUAAGCGGAAUUCCUGGUGUAGCGGUGAAAUGCGUAGAUAUCAGGAGGAACACCAGUGGCGAAGGCGGCUUACUGGACUGUAACUGACGUUGAGGCUCGAAAGCGUGGGGAGCAAACAGGAUUAGAUACCCCUGUACAC
rnacentral:rRNA from 1 species